AGUAAUUUAGGUUAUUUUGACUGUUUGUUUUCAAAACAAAAGGUGGCUUUUGUGGCUGGUUGCUG
rnacentral:tRNA from 1 species